CUUCCAGUGUCCUGAUGUCAAGGUGAAUGGGGUCAAUAGAGAGAGCAGCUGGUAGGAGCCAGUCUUUAGCUGAUUUCCUCCUCGAGUUGUGGGGGCUGCUGCCAAGUCAUUCGUCUCACCCUGUGUGUCUGUUAUAAUGUUGCAAAAGAAAACAGAAGUUUAUGUCCAUGCUGCAGAUAUAAAGGAUGAAGUUGUAGGGCAGGAAGUCUUAUGUAACUUGGAGCAGCUACUCAAUGGAAAUCACAAACAGAAUGAGUUUCAUCCACAUGUCAAGACACUACUACCAACAGAGCUAUUUCAGGACACCUACCUAAAUAACUAGCUGUCUCUUCCACUUAAAGCAAGGAGAGUCUUCUCUUAUCUUCAAGAAGAAUAAAAAGUGAAGCUGACAUUACUUGGAAAGAGAAUAAACAAAAUCUGUCAUGAGGACUGCAGGGAUGAAUGACACAAACCAGCCAUUUCUUUGAGAGUCAGGAAAUAUCUAGUUUAUACAAUAAGCUGAUCUACCAAUAAAAUACAAUUGGUGUUGAAAUAUAUGGCUGAGGAAAGUCCUCAUGUUUCAAGGUUCAAAGUUAUUCCAAAGAAGUCCUCGCUCUACAAAUGUAACAUUGAGAUGACGUAUUAUAUGCUUAUCAGAAUAAACUAAAGGAACAUCAAUUCAAAGAUAUUUUCACUCCAGA
rnacentral:lncRNA from 1 species